CCUACGGGGGGCUGCAGUGGGGAAUAUUGCACAAUGGGCGCAAGCCUGAUGCAGCCAUGCCGCGUGUGUGAAGAAGGCCUUCGGGUUGUAAAGCACUUUCAGCGGGGAGGAAGGCGUUAAGGUUAAUAACCUUGGCGAUUGACGUUACCCGCAGAAGAAGCACCGGCUAACUCCGUGCCAGCAGCCGCGGUAAUACGGAGGGUGCAAGGGUUAAUCGGAAUUACUGGGCGUAAAGCGCACGCAGGCGGUCUGUCAAGUCGGAUGUGAAAUCCCCGGGCUCAACCUGGGAACUGCAUUCGAAACUGGCAGGCUAGAGUCUUGUAGAGGGGGGUAGAAUUCCAGGUGUAGCGGUGAAAUGCGUAGAGAUCUGGAGGAAUACCGGUGGCGAAGGCGGCCCCCUGGACAAAGACUGACGCUCAGGUGCGAAAGCGUGGGGAGCAAACAGGAUUAGAUACCCGAGUAGUC
rnacentral:rRNA from 1 species